AAAUAACACUAGCAUUUUGACAUAUUUGGAGCUGCUACUGGGCCAGCUCUGUUUCCAGGCCUGCCUUUCAAUCUUUUCCUUGCUUCUGGCAUGAGUUACCAUCUCUUUUAAGAAAUUGGUUAUGCAUUUGAAAAUACACGUAGCUAUACAUACUUUAAACAUAUCAUUUAGCAAGGAUGCUCCUUAUCGGACCGUUGCUGGGAACAGAGAACACGACAGUUCCAGACUGUUUCCAAGAUUGGAUGAAGAGAUUCAAUUGACAAUGCUGUGAAGAGAGGGAUUUGGAGCUUGUUGGGGGAGGUAGUGUUGACUUCCUUGUGCAAUCUAGGAUUGAGUGGGGGAUGCAGUUGGAAGGCAAGAGAAGUAAGACUCCUCCAUCUUCCUGGUCCAGAGAAAUUAUGCUGGAUCCCCCUACCCUUAAUGAGAAAGGAGGUGUUUGUGUUUCCAGCAUCUAUGAGAUCUGAUUGCUAAUGUAGCUACCUUUAAAGAAUUCUGCUAUUUACAAUAAAAGUGAGAUCUCCCUCCUCCA
rnacentral:lncRNA from 1 species